AACGAACGCUGGCGGCAUGCCUAACACAUGCAAGUCGAACGAGAUCUUCGGGUCUAGUGGCGCACGGGUGCGUAACGCGUGGGAAUCUGCCCUUUGGUUCGGAAUAACAGUUGGAAACGACUGCUAAUACCGGAUGAUGACGAAAGUCCAAAGAUGUUAUCGCCAGAGGAUGAGCCCGCGUAGGAUUAGCUAGUUGGUGUGGUAAAGGCGCACCAAGGCGACGAUCCUUAGCUGGUCUGAGAGGAUGAUCAGCCACACUGGGACUGAGACACGGCCCAUACGCCAACGGGGGGCAGCAGUGGGGAAUAUUGGAAAAUGGGCGAAAGCCUGUUCAAGCAAUGCCGCGUGGGUGAUGAGGGCCUUAGGGUUGUAAACCUCUUUUACCCGGGAUGAUAAUGACAGUACCGGGAGAAUAAGCUCCGGCUAACUCCGUGCCAGCCGCCGCCGUAA
rnacentral:rRNA from 1 species